rnacentral:tRNA from 1 species
GGAUUCAUAGUGUAGUGGUUAUCAUGUCUGCUUUACAUGCAGAAGGUCCUGGGUUGAUCCCCAGUGAAGCCA